rnacentral:rRNA from 1 species
AUUGAACGCUGGCGGCAUGCCUUACACAUGCAAGUCGAACGGCAGCGGGGACUUCGGUCCGCCGGCGAGUGGCGAACGGGUGAGUAAUGUAUCGGAACGUACCUUUCAGUGGGGGAUAACGUAGCGAAAGUUACGCUAAUACCGCAUAUUCUCUGAGGAGGAAAGCAGGGGACCUUCGGGCCUUGUGCUGAUGGAGCGGCCGAUAUCAGAUUAGCUAGUUGGUGAGGUAAAGGCUCACCAAGGCGACGAUCUGUAGCGGGUCUGAGAGGAUGAUCCGCCACACUGGGACUGAGACACGGCCCAGACUCCUACGGGAGGCAGCAGUGGGGAAUUUUGGACAAUGGGCGCAAGCCUGAUCCAGCCAUGCCGCGUGAGUGAAGAAGGCCUUCGGGUUGUAAAGCUCUUUCGGACGGGAAGAAAUCGCAUGGGCUAAUACCCUGUGUGGAUGACGGUACCGGAAUAAGAAGCACCGGCUAACUACGUGCCAGCCGCCGCAGUAAGAC